AUGCAGAGCACGUCCAAGAUGGCAAGCAGGACGAGGUACUGCAUGGGGAGGAUCAAGUCUUUCGUUGUCCCCCUCGCCAACUACUCCCUCGACACCACCGCCUCUCUAGGUGAACGUUUGGAAGACCAAGAAGACCUACUGCAAGAACAAGGAGUGCAAGAAGCACACCCUCCACAAGGUUACCUAGUACAAGAAAGAUGUUUGAAACCUCUUAACCGUGGACGACAACUACUUGAGAAGGACCAUCAUCACCCAUCAAGUACGCCAUUGAGGGCGUCCGUGGAAGGCCCAGUCCUGACUCUCCAGUGA
rnacentral:rRNA from 1 species